UGUAAGCGUAUACCAAAGUUGUUGCAGUUAAAACGCUCGUAGUCGGAAUUUGGCAGUUCCGGAUGUGUGCACGUCGUGAGCGCACUUCGCGGGGAUUGCUUUUGUGGUCUUGCGUAGGAUGAGGCACUUUUAUUAGUGAACGUCCUCACGCAACCACUUUUUACUGUGAGAAAAUCAGAGUGCUCAAAGCAGGCAUUUGCCGUGAAUGUAUUAGCAUGGAAUAAUAGAAUAGGACUUGGUUCUAUUUUGUUGGUUUGUUGGGACUGAGUAAUGAUUAAGAGGGACAGUUGGGGGCAUUUGUAUUUCGGUGCUAGAGGUGAAAUUCUUAGAUUACCGAAAGACAAACUGCUGCGAAAGCGUCUGCCAAGGAUGUUUUCAUUGA
rnacentral:rRNA from 1 species